rnacentral:rRNA from 1 species
CCUACGGGUGGCAGCAGUGGGGAAUAUUGGGCCAUGGGCGCAAGCCUGACCCAGCAACGCCGCGUGAAGGAAGAAGGCUUUCGGGUUGUAAACUUCUUUUCUGAGGGACGAAGAAAGUGACGGUACCUCAGGAAUAAGCCACGGCUAACUACGUGCCAGCAGCCGCGGUAAUACGUAGGUGGCAAGCGUUAUCAGGCUUUAUUGGGUGUAAAGGGCGUGUAGGCGGGAAGGCAAGUCAGAUGUGAAAACUCAGGGCUAAACCCUGGGACUGCAUUUGAAACUGUUUUUCGUGAGUGCUGGAGAGGCAAGCGGAAUUCCGAGUGGAGCGGGGAAAUGCGGAGAGAUACGGAGGAACACCAGUGGCGAAGGCGUAUGACUGGACAGAAACUGACGUGGAGGCGCGAAAGCGUGGGGAGCAAACAGGAUGAGAGACCCGGGUAGUC